AUUGAACGCUAGCGGCAUGCCUAACACAUGCAAGUCGAACGAGUGGCGGACGGGUGAGUAAUGUCUGGGAAACUGCCCGAUGGCGGGGGAUACCUACUGGAAACGGUAGCUAAUACCGCAUACCAUCGGAUGGUCCCAUAUGGGAUUAGCUAGUGGGUGGGGUCAUGGCUCACCUAGGCGACGAUCCCUAGCUGGUCUGAGAGGAUGACCAGCCACACUGGAACUGAGACACGGUCCAGACUCCUACGGGAGGCAGCAGUGGGGAAUAUUGGACAAUGGGCGCAAGCCUGAUGCAGCCAUGCCGCGUGUAUGAAGAAGGCCUUCGGGUUGUAAAGUACUUUCAGCGAGGAGGCGUUACUCGCAGAAGAAGCACCGGCUAACUCCGUGCCAGCAGCCGCGGUAAUAC
rnacentral:rRNA from 1 species